GGCUUUUAUUCACCAGCCGCCGAGGAUGCUGCUCCGACUGGCCCUCAGGUGCUAAUGAAAGAAUGCAAAUAGCAUUGGUUGAUCAGAACACUUCAUAAAGAAGGGAACAAUCACCAAGCCAAACCAGUACAGAAUCUGCCUGCCAUCAGACAGCAAAGUGAUUACCACAAUUUAUCAUCCCUGGAGGAAAAAUACUGAUAUACGUUCUGCAGAUGUUGG
rnacentral:lncRNA from 1 species